rnacentral:ncRNA from 1 species
AGUCUUCAGGGCGGGGUGCAAUUCCCCACCGGUGGUACAGCCCACGAGCCGUAAGGCAUGAUUCGGUGAGAUUCCGAAGCCGACAGUAUAGUCUGGAUGAAAGAAGAU